rnacentral:rRNA from 1 species
CCUAGUAACUGCGAGUGAAGCGGGAAAAGCUCAAAUUUAAAAUCCCUUCUGGGAGUUGUAAUCUAGAGACGUGUUUUCGGUCGUUGCCUCGGACAAGUCCCUUGGAAUAGGGCGUCAUAGAGGGUGAGAAUCCCGUACUUGCCGAGCUCCCAAUGACUAUGUGAUACACGUUCGAAGAGUCGAGUUGUUUGGGAAUGCAGCUCAAAAUGGGUGGUAAACUCCAUCUAAAGCUAAAUAUUGGCGAGAGACCGAUAGCGAACAAGUACCGUGAGGGAAAGAUGAAAAGCACUUUGGAAAGAGAGUUAAACAGUACGUGAAAUUGUUGAAAGGGAAGCGCUUGAAGUCAGUCGCGUUGCAGGGACUCAGCCGUCAAGGUGCAUUUCUCUGCAACGGGUCAACAUCAAUUUCGGCCGCGGGAAAAGGGCUUGGGGAAUGUGGCAGCUUCGGCUGUGUUAUAGCCUCUUGUCGUACACCGCGGCCGGGAUUGAGGACUGCUAUUACAGGAUGUUGACAAAAUGGCUUUAAGCGACCCGUCUUGAAACACGGACCAAGGAGUCUAACAUGUCUGCGAGUGUUCGGGUGUCAAACCCGUGCGCGUAAUGAAAGUAAACGUAGGUGGGAGGCUUCGGCCGCACCAUCGACCGAUCCGGAUCUCUUGUGAUGGAUUUGAGUAAGAGCAUAUAUGUUGGGACCCGAAAGAUGGUGAACUAUGCCUGAAUAGGGCGAAGCCAGAGGAAACUCUGGUGGAGGCUCGUAGCGAUUCUGACGUGCAAAUCGAUCGUCAAAUUUGGGUAUAGG